GCGGGAAUAGCUCAAUUGGUAGAGUACAACCUUGCCAAGGUUGAGGUUGCGAGUUCGAUUCUCGUUUCCCGCU
rnacentral:tRNA from 1 species